rnacentral:lncRNA from 1 species
UUUUAGUAGAUUAGUGUGAAACAGUGUCACCUUGUGGUCGGUUAGGUUAUUCUUGAUUAUGUCUUUUAUUUCAUACGGGAAGUCUAGAGGAAGAUUCCUCAUUGUUUAAAUAUGUGUGUGUGUGCAUAGACAUGCUUUUGUAAUAUCAUACCAAAUUAGUUUCAAACAGAAAUUACAAUAGCAUUACUUUUCUACUCUUGCUGAAUUAUGUUUCAUGGUGAAAAUAAUUUACUUUUUGAUUCAGUGCUAUUAAAAGUUGAUUUUUAGCAUUUCUAAGAAAUGCUAUUAAUGCUCAAAAGAAAUCUCAAGACAAGUCAUUCUCAUUCCAUAUUCAUAAGACUAGAAUAUGUCCUGUAAGGGAACACUGGCUGGGAGAGGAACUGGAUGACCUAAUCAGUAGGUCUUUACCAGACCUAACAUCUGUGAUUCUGAAAGCUCCUAGCUGGGAGGGAAAAGUCUGAUGAAGAAUCCAAAGAAAUUCAGAUUCUCAAACUGUGUGGCUCCAGGUUGGUAUUUGGGUAUUUCCAAGCUCAGUGUCACUCUGUCUUUCUCACCCCCACACCCCCAAUGGAUCCCAAACUAGUAUUUUUUAUAAAAGUCUGAAACAUCACCAACCAGUCCAGGAAACAGUGACUUGAGCUGAAAUCUUAACCAGUAACAAUGCCACUUUUAAAGAGCUGAUGCACUAGGUUGCCUGAUACUGAAUAGUAGUAAAUAGGUUUAGCUGCCACUCAUUAGGGCAGCAGUUGCCAGUUGCUAUGGUAAUUAAUUGGGUCAGCUGACUGCCAGGGGGCAGGGCCUGGCCUUUAUAAACAGAGGAGGCUAAGCCAGGGCUAGUUCUCUUCUGGCAGUCUGAGGAGCAGCGCAGCGCAGCGCAGCGCAGCGCAGCGCAGCGCAGCGCAGCACAGCACAGCACAGCAGGCUGAGUCUACAUGACAAGAUGGGGGGAGAGAACCCUGACAGGAGUGUAUGUUAUAGCCAGGAGGCUUAUUUUGUGUCUCAGCUGGAAAGUGCUGGGAUGGAAGACCCCUGGCUAUGUUCUUGCUGUGAUGAGAGUUGUAACGCUGACCGCUGCUGGAAGUAUGCAUCUCCAUUUGGUGUUGAUGGAUCCUACUGUCACUGGAAUGCAGGGCUUAUGGCCAUAACAAGAAGCACACCAGACCUAGAGAAAAGCAACUUCACCAAUGAAAACCCACAUGAUGUCAUACCAGUUGAUCACCAGCUGGUCUACACAGGAAGCACAAGAUUUGAAUGGGCCUCCCAGGCCACUGAGUCCAAUUCCCUGUAUUCACAAGCAAACAUUUACCAGGGAUCCCUAAAAAAAUUUCCACUCUUUAUGGACCAUAAAGCACAAAACCAGAAACACCAAGAAUGCCCUACAGCAGGCCACAAGUAGAAGCAGGGGAGACAAAGGCAUUGCCAGUGCCAUGCCACUUUGAUG